rnacentral:rRNA from 1 species
AUUGAACGCUGGCGGCAGGCCUAACACAUGCAAGUCGAACGAGUGGCGGACGGGUGAGUAAUGUCUGGGAAACUGCCUGAUGGAGGGGGAUAACUACUGGAAACGGUAGCUAAUCCCGCCUACCAUCAGAUGUGCCCAGAUGGGAUGAGCUCGUUGGUGGGGUAACGGCUCACCAAGGCUACGAUCACUAGCUGGUAUGAGAGGAGGACCAGCCAAACUGGAACUGAGACACGGUCCAGACUCCUACUGGAGGCAGCAGUGGGGAAUAUUGCACAAUGGGCGCAAGCCUGAUGAAGCCAUGCCGCGUGUAUGAAGAAGUCCUGCGGUUUUUAAAGUACUGUCAGCGGGGAGGCGUUACCCGCAGAAGAAGCACCGGCUAACUCCGUGCCAGCAGCCGCGGUAAUAC